GCGUGCCUAAUACAUGCAAGUCGAGCGGACAGAUGGGAGCUUGCUCCCUGAUGUUAGCGGCGGACGGGUGAGUAACACGUGGGUAACCUGCCUGUAAGACUGGGAUAACUCCGGGAAACCGGGGCUAAUACCGGAUGCUUGUUUGAACCGCAUGGUUCAGACAUAAAAGGUGGCUUCGGCUACCACUUACAGAUGGACCCGCGGCGCAUUAGCUAGUUGGUGAGGUAACGGCUCACCAAGGCGACGAUGCGUAGCCGACCUGAGAGGGUGAUCGGCCACACUGGGACUGAGACACGGCCCAGACUCCUACGGGAGGCAGCAGUAGGGAAUCUUCCGCAAUGGACGAAAGUCUGACGGAGCAACGCCGCGUGAGUGAUGAAGGUUUUCGGAUCGUAAAGCUCUGUUGUUAGGGAAGAACAAGUGCCGUUCAAAUAGGGCGGCACCUUGACGGUACCUAACCAGAAAGCCACGGCUAACUACGUGCCAGCAGCCGCGGUAAUACGUAGGUGGCAAGCGUUGUCCGGAAUUAUUGGGCGUAAAGGGCUCGCAGGCGGUUUCUUAAGUCUGAUGUGAAAGCCCCCGGCUCAACCGGGGAGGGUCAUUGGAAACUGGGGAACUUGAGUGCAGAAGAGGAGAGUGGAAUUCCACGUGUAGCGGUGAAAUGCGUAGAGAUGUGGAGGAACACCAGUGGCGAAGGCGACUCUCUGGUCUGUAACUGACGCUGAGGAGCGAAAGCGUGGGGAGCGAACAGGAUUAGAUACCCUGGUAGUCCACGCCGUAAACGAUGAGUGCUAAGUGUUAGGGGGUUUCCGCCCCUUAGUGCUGCAGCUAACGCAUUAAGCACUCCGCCUGGGGAGUACGGUCGCAAGACUGAAACUCAAAGGAAUUGACGGGGGCCCGCACAAGCGGUGGAGCAUGUGGUUUAAUUCGA
rnacentral:rRNA from 1 species